UUCUUAUGGGUUCAUAUAUAAACCAUUAAAAAGUUGACUCUCUAAACUGUUUCAGUAAGCGUAACACAAAAAUGCUCAUUUUCAGAAAAUCUAGAAUUGAAAAAAUAAAACAAAAAUGCUCAUAGAGUCCGCUUUCUACACUGCAAUCCACACGACAAAACUAUUUUGUGAAAAAACAUUGCAAUUUAUUAAAAUUUAGCAUUUUCUCAAU
rnacentral:lncRNA from 1 species